GUGGAGCUUAAAUGUGAGAUGAAAAUCAUCAAGAACUGUCGUGAGUGUUAUAGCAGAAGCCAGAUCUGGAAGUCCUGGUCUAACUAUGGAGGAGGCCAUGGAGCUUAGACUUACUUCUAUUUCCCCUGAAAGGGUAACUCUUGGAAGAGAAAUGAAAUGGAUUCGUUUGAAACAAGCAGAUCACAUUGUUAACUAUAUGGAGGGUAGUUUGGAGAGAAGAAAAUUAUACAUGAAGAUGUUCGGAGGAAGAGAGGAAGCAAAGUGUCAGUAUAUUCUUAGACUUGUAUCUGUGAACUACACUUAAUCUGUUCUUUUUUAUAUUAGCAAAAUGUAGGUAAAAUAGAUUAAAAAUCACUGAAAGAGUUUACAUGGACUGAGAUUGGACAGAUACAUACUUCCUAAGAUCCACUUAGAGCAUGAAAUGAAGAGAUGGAACCAAUAUAAUAAACAGGAGGCCUUGAUGGAUGAGUGGGACUCCCUCUGUGCUUUAGGAAGGAGAGGAAGAGGAUUCAAGAACCAAAAUCUAACUAACCCUACAGAAGAAAACCUCAAGAUACAUUUAGAACCUUCAAUUACCUUUCUGAGGAAGAGAAAAUCUAGACAUCAACAUGAGGUCAUAUCAAAAACUGAAAAGAGAAAUUUUCAACCUACUGUUUUUCUCACAGCCCUACUGACUUUCUGGCAAGUCUGCUUUCUAACCUUGUUCCUUUUCUUUGUAAUAGGCUGAGCAUUUACUUCUCGUGCAUUCUGGGACGAUCAGGGAGGAAUGUCUGGUCACUGGGCCGAAUAAGGUCUAUGAAAUCAUUUGCUCUGGCCCUGCAAAAACUUAAAAUUAAAUAAAUAUACAAUAGGCUAGUUUUUAAGUUAAUAA
rnacentral:lncRNA from 1 species